AAUAUUAAAGGUCUGGUCUGCCCGGUGUAAUUAUUAACGGCCGCGGUAUUCUGACUGUGCAAAGGUAGCAUAAUCACUUGCCCUUUAAAUGGGGGAAUGUAUGAAUGAUUAGACGAGGUUUCGACUGUCUUCCCCCUAAAAACUGAGAUUUCAGUGUCUGUGAAAAUGCGGGCAUGGCUGUAAUGGACGAGAAGACCCUGUUGAGCUUGAAGACUACAUAUUAGCGUCUGUUAGAAUAAAAUAAUUAAUUAUCACCAAACAUGCGUAAUUAAACGGUCUUUUGGCUGGGGUGGCAAGCAAAGGAAUUAAGCUUUGAUAUUAAAAUUUACAUUUUUAGGCUGUUUAUGCCAAGGAAUAUUAAUACAGAUCCGCUAAGAGCGAUUAAUAGAUAAAGUUACCACAGGGAUAACAGCGUAAUUCUUUUUGAGAGCCCAUAUUGACAAAAGGGUUUGCGACCUCGAUGUUGGAUCAAGAUUCCUAAUGGUGUAGCAGCUAUUAUGGGUUUGCCUGUUCGGCGAUUAAAAUCUUACGUGAUCUGAGUUCAGACCGUCGUAAGACAGGUUAGAUUCUAUCCUUACAUUCACAUAUUUAGUACGAAAGGACCAAUGGUGUGUAAUUUUAAGGUUUUUUUAAAUUAUA
rnacentral:rRNA from 1 species